rnacentral:rRNA from 1 species
GGCGAACGGGUGAGUAACACGUGAGUAACCUGCCCCCUUCUUCUGGAUAACCUCAUGAAAGGGGGGCUAAUACGGGAUAUUCUGGUCUGUGCGCAUGCAUGGGUUGGGAAAGGUAUUGUUCUGGUGGGGGAUGGGCUCGCGGCCUAUCAGCUUGUUGGGGGGGUGAUGGCCUACCAAGGGGGUGACGGGUAGCCGGCCUGAGAGGGGGGACGGCCACACUGGGACUGAGACACGGCCCACACUCCUACGGGAGGCAGCAGGGGGGAAUAUUGCACAAUGGGCGCAAGCCUGAUGCAGCGACCCCGCGUGAGGGAUGGAGGCCUUCGGGUUGUGAACCUCUUUCCCCAGUGAAGCAGGCUCAUCUCUUUGUGGGUGGGUUGACGGUAGCUGGAUAAGAAGCGCCGGCUAACUACGUGCCAGCAGCCGCGGUAAUACGUAAGGCGCGAGCGUUGUCCGGAAUUAUUGGGCGUAAAGAGCUCGUAGGCGGCUGGUCGCGUCUGUCGUGAAAUCCUCUGGCUUAACUGGGGGCUUGCGGUGGGUACCGGCCGGCUUGAGUGCGGUAGGGGAGACUGGAAUUCCUGGUGUAGCGGUGGAAUGCGCAUAUAUCAGAGAGGAACACCGGUGGCGAAGGGCGGGUCUCUGGGCCGUUUACUGACGCUGAAGAGCGAAAGCGUGGGGAGCGAACAAGAUUAGAUACCCUGGUAGUGUCACGCCGUAAACGUUGGGCACUAGGUGUGGGGGGGCCUUUUUCCGGGUUUCUUCCGCGCCGUAGCUAACGCAAUUAAGUGCCCCGCCUGGGGAGUACGGCCGCAAGGCUAAAAACUCAAAAGGAAUUGACGGGGGCCCGCACAAGCGGCGGAGCAUGCGGAUUAAUUCGAUGCAACGCGAAGAACCUUACCAAGGCUUGACAUGAGGGCGAUCGUCCCGGAGACGGGGCUUCCAUUUUUUGGCGCUCUUACAGGUGGUGCAUGGUUGUCGUCAGCUCGUGUCGUGAGAUGUUGGGUUAAGUCCCGCAACGAGCGCAACCCCCUUCCUGUGUUGCCAGCACGUUGUGGUGGGGACUCGCGGGAGACUGCCGGGGUCAACUCGGAGGAAGGUGGGGAGGACGUCAAAUCAUCAUGCCCCCUAUGUGUUGGGCUUCACGCACGCUACAAUGGCCGGUACAGAGGGGUGCGAUGCUGUGAGGCGGAGAGAAUCCCCUAAAACCGGUCUCAGUUCGGAUCGGUGUCUGCAACUCGACACCGUGAAGUUGGAGUCGCUAGUAAUCGCAGAUCAGCAACGCUGCGGUGAAUACGUUCUCGGGCCUCCUACACCCCGCCC